rnacentral:lncRNA from 1 species
AAUCUACAAAAGCGUGUUAUUUGGUAGCCCCAAUGCCAAUAGAUAUUGUCGGACACCCAGGGUUCUUAUAUUUUUGGGGUUUCUCAGUCUGAAAACAUGAGCUUGUUGUGCCAUUAGAAAUACCUUUUUUAUGCAUUGGACGUUUUUAAUUGUGAUAAUUCUUUUAAAAAUUUUGAGUAUGCGGGAUCUGUUUUAUUGCACUAGUAAGGGAAUGUGAUUUUUACUUGCUCGAAGAGUUUAUAAAUCUUAUCAUUGGUAGUUCCAUUUUUUGGGCAAUCUAAGUCUUAUGGAAAUGGUGCGGGUGUUGGUAGGGUAGUGGGUUUGUCUGCCAAUACAUACACAAAUUGAUUCCAUAUUCAAAGGAUCUUGUUCUCGCAUUUACCUCAUAAAGUUUAUGGGUUUUAGUGAAGCGGAAUUUGAAUAGUCUGGUUCUCAAUCUCCUUACAACUUUCAACGUGGUAAUUGAUUUUAAUUUCUAUGACUGUGAGGGGGGUGGGGAAUUGAAAACUAGGUAUCCAUGCCAUGUUGGCAUGGGAUUUGCUAGUGGUUGUGAUGGAAAUUUUCCUUUUCUCCUGUUGUAUUCCCCCUACGGUUGUGGUCAAUUUGGUCAACUGGAUCAAAUAAUUCACUAAUGGCUGAUAUUCUGAAAACCCACGAUGCCUGUCAAUUUGAACUAAAAGUAGGUAGGUAUGCUCUAAACUCCGUUUAUUGGGGGUUUGGUAUACAUUUUGGUUGUGGUUUUGGGAAAUGGGCCUGCAAAACAUUAGUCUGUCCUUGGUCUGAUUGAAUAGGAUUCAAUCCAUUGGACUCCCUGUUGCUAUGGUGGAUUAGAAGUUGGCCCACUUGGUCAAAUUGGAAUUAUAUGUAUUUCUAUAGGAAAAAAUUGAGUGGAGUAGGUUAUAUUUAUUGGAGUAUGCAGAAUUGAAAGGUUCUGUGACUGAUUCAUUGAUAUUGAAGAGACUUGCUCUCAGUCUGCAAGACCUCUUUAAAGCAGUAGAGUAGGGGCAUCCAGUCGUAGCAUGCCCAGAUCUAUCACAAAAUGACACAUUUUUAUUCCUUAUCAGAUGACGUGCUAACCUCAUUGUAUUUUUAAUUUCUAGGGAUCAAUUGUUUUCAGACAUUUAAGAUAACUUUGUUUGCAAAUCAUCAUAUUCUUUUAAUUGCUAUUUUUCGGGUUCAAAUAUUGGGUCACUUCUAGUCUAUCCGUAGAGUAUGAGAAAUCCAAGAUUGGUUAUUCUCCUGGCUAGUUAAUCAAAGAAGUCCUAUCUAUCUAAGCUCUCAGGACUCUUUCUCAUUAAACUGACCAUUCACAUCACUGUUAAUAAACGGCCUGGUUUGGGGGAUCAAUCCCUCAUAAAGAAACUCAAUUGCGGCCAGUAUCAGAAAGAGGAGAAACCGUGUGUGGUAUAGCUGUUAACAAAUCCUUAUAACCUCUCCCACACGCAUAAAAUGCCACAUCUUCUCUCUAUCUGAAAAUUAUAAAUUAACUUUUUCCAAGAUGCCGUUUUGUUCCAUGGAAAAAAACUUUUUUUUAAAAAUUCCUCUUGCAUGUUCCUAUGAAGUUAAGAACUCGAUUUUAGAGAAUUUCCAUAUUUUAUAGCUCGCCUUUACGUGAAAAUGAAAGAGUGUAGCCUUGCUAUAUCGUCCCUAUGUUGGACUCUACAUAGUCUACCAUUUCUCAAAUCUUUAAACUGAGGUAUGGGCUUCCGUUUCUAUUCCGUGGAAGAUGUGGGAGCUAUGUAUGUACCUGAUUUAAUGUGAAGGUAUGUUCAUUGCGGUAGUACUAUGCAUGAGGGAGUUGAUCUCCUAGUUGGAUAAGGUAAUCUUGCAUGUAUCUUCCUUGAGGCCAGGAGCCUCAUUGGGGAUUUGAUUGGGAGACGAGUUAUGUCUCCUACUUCUUGUCCUUUCAUGUUCUGUAGUGGGUUUUGAUCCAGUCUAGUAAACUACAGUUUUGUUUCUGAAACUACACUGACAUGCAAAUUUUAAAUUUCCUUUUCAAUAGGACCUUAUCCUUGACUGAUUGUUUCCCUGUAACUGGUAAGAAGAAAAGAAAAAGAUUGGAAAACAAAGUGUUUAAAAAAAUAGUUUACUUGCAACUUCUUGUGAUUCCGGCACAACUUUAAAACUUUCAAGCUGCGAAAUGUCUUGGCAACGGCGCCAAAAAUACUUAGCCCAUUACAAUGGUUGAAUGUCGUGUCUGUUUAUAUUUUAGCUUUUAAGUGAAGAGUCUACCGAAACAGCACUUUACUCGCAAGUACGAGAUCGAAUCUACAGGAAAAUUUAUUAGCACAAUUUAAUUGUUGUAAAUACAACUUGAAAAAAAUAGAAGUUGUAAAAGUUUGAUUUGUUUGGGAAUUGAUUGAGAUUGGUGUUUUCUUUAAACUUGUAUUUUAAUGUAAAGUUGGAAUAGUUUAAACCACUUAGCUAUUCAUUUAAUCAAAUCUCUAUUUCUUUAUUCGCUUUGUACUCAAUCAUUUUCAAGAUAAACGAAGUGAUUGGA